rnacentral:lncRNA from 1 species
GCAGCUUUGAAAAGGGCUUAGCAAGCUCUCUCACUGGAGAUGCUAGUCCUUCCUGAACAUCCCAUGUACCCUAAUUAUCCAAGAAGAUAAAUGACAAACAAAAGAAUUUCAAUUUUUAUUUAAAGGCAAUGGGAAUCAUUGGAGUUUCUGUAGCAGAAGAAUUAGAAAGUAAAACCUGUGAUUUAGAAAUAUCAGCAUGGCAACUAUGUAAAUGAUGGAAUGAGGGGAUGAAAGACUGCAGACAUGGAAAGCAAUUAAGAGUAUGUUUCUUUGAAGCAAGAGGUGAUGAGGACCUGAACGGGUAUAAUUAUUUUAUGAAGGAAGAGUCUAGGCACCAUACCAUAGUGGACAGAGAGACAGCUUCACAGUUAAGAAGACCUCGAUUGAUGAUUGCUGGUCCGCUGAAUCACCGCCUGCCACACACACUCUUGCUUGAUGGAAGAGUGAACCUGGGAGAAGCCUUAGUAAAACAGAAGAUAGAAGAAUGGAA